rnacentral:rRNA from 1 species
GUCGAGCGCCCCGCAAGGGGAGCGGCGAACGGGUGAGUAACGCGUGAACAAUCUGCCUUAAAGUGGGGGAUAACCAUUCCAACGGAUGGCUAAUACCGCAUAGGAUUUGGGACUGGCAUCAGUCCUCUAUGAAAGCAUUUAUGCGCUUUAAGAUGAGUUCGCGUCCCAUUAGCUAGUUGGCGGGGUAACGGCCCACCAAGGCAACGAUGGGUAGCCGGCCUGAGAGGGUGUCCGGCCACAUUGGGACUGAGAUACGGCCCAGACUCCUACGGGAGGCAGCAGUAGG